UGUGUUAUUAUAUUUGUUUUUCAAAAUAUUACCCCAACCAUUAAUAAUAUAAACCAAUUUAGGGUGUGAAGCUGAAGAUUCCUCAAAAAAUCAGUUAUAGUUUAUAUAAUAGCCCCUUUACCUGGAUAACCGUGGUAAUUCUAGAGUUAAUCCAUGCCAAAACCCCCGCCUUCGGAAGGGGUGUGUUUAUUAGAUAAAAAACCAACGCCCUUCGGGGCUCCUUGGUGAAUCAUGAUAACCUAACGAAUCGCAUGGCCUUGCGCCGGCGAUGGUUCAUUCAAAUUUCUGCCCUAUCAACUUCGAUGUG
rnacentral:rRNA from 1 species